UAUACCACGUAGUGAAUGAAUGAAAAAACAGCUUCAUUAUAUGAGAAACAAUAGACGUACAAAGAAAGAGGAAAGUCUUGAGUGGAAGCUUGCGUUUUUUUAAAUAUUUUGUAGUUUAUUUAUCUUGUCACAAUGAUGGAAAACAUGACAAUGUUAAAAGCUCUUGUGAUAUGAUCUGAAAGUGUCGCAAUAACAGCUUAAAAUCACGCCUUAAUUCUGACAAUUAAAAUGAAAUCGCGUGCACAAUUGACACAAUCGCAUCCGAUAUAAAUAAAAGGAAGUCGAGAUGAUUUUUUAAAUCAAAAUAUACACAAGCAAAAGAAGGACAACAAGAAACACAGCAACUUAAUCUUACAGGAAAAUUUGAGAAUGGUAUCCACUUUCAUCAGCAUUCUAAUUAUCACCUUUGCUCUUGUUCAAUGCGGAGCGUCCAUUAACACGUGUCAAUUAAAAUGCCAAAGUGAUUUUUCGCAGUGCAUUGCAAUUGUACCACCUGAGGAAAUCGGUGAAUGCAACAAGUUGAAAACAGUUUGUUACCAAAAAUGUGGCAGCACUAUUAGGAGACAUGCACGAGAUGCCAAUGCAAUGGCUUCACAAACUUUAAACAAAAAAAUCAAUAAAUGUUGGGCGAAGUGUAAACUGCCUUCUAAUGUCUGUUCUGAUAAAAAGAAAGUACCUGAAAGACAAACUUGCCGAAACAGAGUGUAUUUAACAUGUUUAUCAAAAUGCAUUCUUAAUUGAUUUGAAGGAUACAGUUUAAGAAGGUGGCUAACAAUAACGUAAACACUGGCAAUAGGAGCGUUUUAUUCCUUUUCGCUUUUUUAAAACAUAAUAUUUUUGUAUUUAAAGUUUUAUUUAUGUUGAUUUGUUUAUAUUUAAGUUUGACGUAAUGUAGAUUGCUACUUUAGAAAUAUAAUAAGUUCACAAAGAGA